ensembl:misc_RNA Metazoa_SRP Metazoan signal recognition particle RNA
GCCGGGCGUGGUGGCUCACGCCCGUAAUCCCAGCACUUUGGGGGGCUGAGGUGGGUGGAUUGCUUGAGGUCAGGAGUUUGAGAGCAGCCUGACCAACAUGGCAAAACCCCAUCUCUA